CCCAUCCCAGAGGCUGUAGGUGCAAGGCAGGGAACAACACAGGAUGGGGCACCAACCCACUCACCCGCAUAAUUCACUGAUGAUAUUCAGCAUACAGAAACGAUACCAGGACUCGACCAGCUGAGUAGAGGGGUUCCGGUGAUGGGGACAGACAGCAGGUCCAGGCGGGAAUGCAGGGACAGAGAGACUCAGGUAGAUAUUUCUCAGAAGGUAUUUCAAAAAAGUACCUAUUUGGAAUGUGAGAGAAGAUAAUAAGAUCCGGAGAAAGGCAGCUACAUCACAAG